GGGCCCGCACAAGCGGUGGAGCAUGUGGUUUAAUUCGACGCAACGCGAAGAACCUUACCUGGGCUCGAACGGCUCACGAGAGUCCUUGGAAACAGGGAUUUCCCGCAAGGGACGGGAGUCGAGGUGCUGCAUGGCUGUCGUCAGCUCGUGUCGUGAGAUGUUGGGUUAAGUCCCGCAACGAGCGCAACCCUUGUCCUGUGUUGCUAAUUCUGAAUAAGGAAGCACUCUCAGGAGACCGCCAGCGAUAAGCUGGAGGAAGGUGGGGAUGACGUCAAGUCAUCAUGGCCUUUAUGUCCAGGGCUACACACGUGCUACAAUGGGCGGUACAAAGCGCGGCAAACCCGCAAGGGGGAGCAAAUCGCAAAAAACCGUUCUCAGUUCGGAUUGCAGGCUGCAACUCGCCUGCAUGAAGCUGGAAUCGCUAGUAAUGGCAUAUCAGAACGAUGCCGUGAAUACGUUCCCGGGCCUU
rnacentral:rRNA from 1 species